AGAGUUUGAUCCUGGCUCAGAAUCAACGCUGGCGGCGCGCUUAACACAUGCAAGUCGAACGAGAAAGCAGGAGCAAUCUUGUGAGUAAAGUGGCGUACGGGUGAGUAACACGUGGAUCAUCUACCUCUUUGUGGGGGAUGACUCUGGGAAACCGGAGCUAAUACCGCAUAAGUCCGUGAGGAGAAAGCAGCAAUGCGCAGAGAGAGGAGUCCGCGGCCGAUUAGUUAGUUGGCAGGGNUAAAAGCCUACCAAGACAAAGAUCGGUAGCCGGCCUGAGAGGGCACACGGCCACACUGGCACUGAAACACGGGCCAGACUCCUACGGGAGGCAGCAGUGGGGAAUCUUGCACAAUGGGGGCAACCCUGAUGCAGCGACGCCGCGUGAGCGAUGAAGCCCUUCGGGGUGUAAAGCUCUUUCGGCAGGGAAGAUUAUGACGGUACCUGCAGAAGCAGCUGCGGCUAACUACGUGCCAGCAGCCGCGGUAAUACGUAGGCAGCGAGCGUUGUUCGGAGUUACUGGGGCGUAAAGGGUGUGUAGGCGGUUUUCUAAGUCUGGUGUGAAAUCUCCCGGCUCAACUGGGAGGGUGCGCCGAAAACUGGAAGGCUAGAGUGCGGGAUGGGUAAGUGGAAUUCCUGGGUGUANCGGUGAAAUGCGUANAUAUCAU
rnacentral:rRNA from 1 species